GACUAGGUAGUUGAAUUAACAAUGUGAAAUUGCAGAUUUCGAGGUAAGGUUUUUGUUAGUCU
rnacentral:tRNA from 1 species